UGCUUCCGGCGGGAAUCGAACCCGGGCCGCCCGCGUGGCAGGCGAGCAUUCUACCACUGAACCGC